GCAGUCGAACGAUGAAGCCCAGCUUGCUGGGUGGAUUAGUGGCGAACGGGUGAGUAACACGUGAGCAACCUGCCCCUGACUCUGGGAUAAGCGCUGGAAACGGCGUCUAAUACUGGAUAUGUCCCGUCACCGCAUGGUGUGCGGGUGGAAAGAUUUUUCGGUUGGGGAUGGGCUCGCGGCCUAUCAGCUUGUUGGUGAGGUAAUGGCUCACCAAGGCGUCGACGGGUAGCCGGCCUGAGAGGGUGACCGGCCACACUGGGACUGAGACACGGCCCAGACUCCUACGGGAGGCAGCAGUGGGGAAUAUUGCACAAUGGGCGAAAGCCUGAUGCAGCAACGCCGCGUGAGGGAUGACGGCCUUCGGGUUGUAAACCUCUUUUAGCAGGGAAGAAGCGAAAGUGACGGUACCUGCAGAAAAAGCACCGGCUAACUACGUGCCAGCAGCCGCGGUAAUACGUAGGGUGCAAGCGUUAUCCGGAAUUAUUGGGCGUAAAGAGCUCGUAGGCGGUCUGUCGCGUCUGCUGUGAAAUCCCGAGGCUCAACCUCGGGCUUGCAGUGGGUACGGGCAGACUAGAGUGCGGUAGGGGAGAUUGGAAUUCCUGGUGUAGCGGUGGAAUGCGCAGAUAUCAGGAGGAACACCGAUGGCGAAGGCAGAUCUCUGGGCCGUAACUGACGCUGAGGAGCGAAAGGGUGGGGAGCAAACAGGCUUAGAUACCCUGGUAGUCCACCCCGUAAACGUUGGGAACUAGUUGUGGGGUCCUUUCCACGGAUUCCGUGACGCAGCUAACGCAUUAAGUUCCCCGCCUGGGGAGUACGGCCGCAAGGCUAAAACUCAAAGGAAUUGACGGGGACCCGCACAAGCGGCGGAGCAUGCGGAUUAAUUCGAUGCAACGCGAAGAACCUUACCAAGGCUUGACAUACACGAGAACGGGCCAGAAAUGGUCAACUCUUUGGACACUCGUGAACAGGUGGUGCAUGGUUGUCGUCAGCUCGUGUCGUGAGAUGUUGGGUUAAGUCCCGCAACGAGCGCAACCCUCGUUCUAUGUUGCCAGCACGUAAUGGUGGGAACUCAUGGGAUACUGCCGGGGUCAACUCGGAGGAAGGUGGGGAUGACGUCAAAUCAUCAUGCCCCUUAUGUCUUGGGCUUCACGCAUGCUACAAUGGCCGGUACAAUGGGCUGCGAUACCGUAAGGUGGAGCGAAUCCCAAAAAGCCGGUCCCAGUUCGGAUUGAGGUCUGCAACUCGACCUCAUGAAGUCGGAGUCGCUAGUAAUCGCAGAUCAGC
rnacentral:rRNA from 1 species